AACUUAAAUCUGAUAGAAGAUAUCGUAUGCAGAACCCAAGCCCGGCUAUGUCUGUACAUAAUAACGAAAGAAACCGGUUAUGCUGCGAGGGCGUUUAGCUCGAUAGAUGUUGAAAAUGCCCACAGCAUUAUAAAUCAUUUGGACCGCCGAGGGGUCCAAAACUCCUCAAUCGAAGAGCUUAGUAGACAUGUCAGCAACCUACAGAGACUUCAAAUUCUCAGGAAAACCUCUCUAGGACGGAAGCUUUAUACUCCGACAUCCACAAUUUACCACGCCCCUGAGAUCGACAAAGGUCUUUCUGAUAGAUUGACUUCCAGCCAAUUCGAUCUAUCGAAGCCGAGUGGGAAGAACAAAGAACUGAAACCCAUGGUCGCAACGAUGCUCCUCGCGGACAAGGGAGAGUUAGGGCCAUCGGUGGUCACAAGACUGCAGAAUAUUUAUUUUUUUAAGCGUUGAGGUUGUCACGAAAGCGUACUGUAACGGGACUGUAUCAGAUUUGAGUGAUUUGAUUUUGUGAUUCGCAGUUCACGUGAUUUUAUUGUGAUCUUAGACUGUAAAAACUAUAAAGGUUCAAGUUGAACUAUCGUCGCCAUGAUUAUGUAUUUUGGAACUGUUCACGUUGAAAUUGCUUCGUUAAUCAGCAGUCUU